rnacentral:lncRNA from 1 species
GUGAUCGGAGCCUGGCCGCGGCGUGAUCGGGCAGGGCGGGACGCGGCACGUGUUUUGGUCGGAGCGAGGGGCGGGGCCUGAGGCCCUGGAAAGAAUGCGUCCUUGACCGGAGAGGUCGGAAAGCUGGCCGGUUCUAGGCCCCGAGAAAACGCCGCCCCCUCCGGGAAGUCCUCGAGCCUGCAGGAGACAUCUAGCCCGCUGUCCAGGGCACCUUUUUUUUUCUCCCUAUAUUUCGGUUGCUCGCGUCUCUUGGUGUGGUUUGCCCACGUCUGCAGCGCCAGGUUCGUGGAGAGCAGGAACCAUGCUGUUUAUUUUCGUCGCCGCAGCCUUCAGCUCAGCGAGGAGCCACCCCUCCUCCGUCUGUUCACUGCGCGCGCCUUUGCUGAGCUGUGAUGCGGGUUGGCGCUCAGUGCAAGGGGCAGAGGCCGCAGUGAGGAAUCCUCCUUUUUUAAAAGCUCCAUCCAGGGAGCGGGAGCAGAGAGAGAAUCCCGGCACCCCGGGGCUUUGCUCUGAGCGAGAGAAUUCUGGUCUUAGGGGAACGGGCUGGGCCCCACCACUCACAUGAGCAGGACUCUGGUCCCCACUUGUUCCUUCGGGGCCCACUCGGGUUGGGCAGAGGGGUUGACCAGGCUGAGGAGAGGGUGUUUGCUGAAAUAGUAAGAGGGUUUAAGACGAAAGAACCGUGAUAAACUGCUCGCAUGAAGACCCCGGAGGCUCUGAGAGGGGCGCAGGGUGUUCUGUGUGUAAAAAGUUAAGUCUUAAGAUACACACUGGAAUAUUCUCUUUUGCCUGGACUCCUGCAUUCGCCUUAUAACUGGUCUCCCUGCGUCCACUCCAGCUCCCAGAGCCUCUUCCCACUCAGCACCCCCAGGGGUCUUUAACCCUUUCAGUGGCUCCCACUGUACUCAGCGUAACGCUUCUGCUCCCCACUGUGGCUUGUGAGCUCCUGCAGGGACCCAGCCCCAUGCCUCUCCCCACGCCCCGGAGGGACAGCCUGGGCCUCCUCUUGGGCGCCUGUCCCACCAGCCCCUCUGCCGUCUCCAGGUCCUCGCACUUGCUGUUCCCUAGAAUGCUUUUCCCCCACAUGCCCCCUUUACUCUCACCCGCAGUCCACCUGGAGAGGCCCCCUCUAGCGGACACACCCUCGGGGCCGACCUCCAGUCCCCUUCUGGCGGGCUUUCUUGUUUUCUUCCUCCACAACACUUUUCUUGAACUGCCCCUUUUCCAUUACUUCAGUUAUUUAUCAUCUGUCUCCCCACCAGAAGGACUCUCCCAAGGCCAGGGAGCCUGGCUGUUUAAUAAGUCCACGUAGGUGAACGAGCGAAUCGAAGGUAUCCACCAGCCUCCCUGCUUGAACAUCCCGUGAGCACCUCUAAUUGUGUCCUUAAAAAAACUGAACUCAGGGCCGGGCGCGGUGGCUCACGCCUGUAAUCCCAGCACUUUGGGAGGCCGAGGCGGGCGGAUCACCUGAGGUCAGGAGUUGAAGACCAGCCCGGCCAACAUGAUGAAACCCCGUCUCUUCUAAAAAUACAAAAAUUAGCCUGGCACGGUGGCAGGCGCCUGUAAUCCCAGCUACUCAGGAGACUAAGGCAGGAGAAUCGCUUGAACCCAGGAGGCAGAGAUUGCAGUGAGCCGAGAUCGCACCACUGCACUCCAGCCUGGGCGUCAGAGACUCAGUCUCAAAAAAACAAACAAAAAACUGAACUCGGAUUCCAGCCAAAUCUGGAUUUCUCACCUCCGUGAAGGGUACAACUGGAGACCCUGUUCCUUGAUCUAGAAACCUGAGCGUCACCUUUACCUCCUCCCUUUCGCACAGUUGCUGUCUUCCGCCAAUUACAUGCCCUUCUUCCUUCUCAGUUCCUCUCAAACUCUUAUGUCACCCACGCCAGCCCUUGUCCUGGCCACCACCUGCUCACCUGAAUUGUUGCCACUGCCUCCCAACAGGUCUCCCUCCCUCCAGCCAGACGCCCUACAAUCUGCCCUCACCUCACUGCCAGAAUGAUCUUCUGGAAGCAGAGGUGGAGCUGAACCUGUAUUCAAGCCGUCAGUUGGAAUCCAAACAGUUAUAGGACUGACUUCAGGCUCCAUGGCCAGGAACCCAUGAGUCUUUGUAGCCAGGCUCCAGCCAGCACUUCCUGCAUCAUUUCUGACCAGUUUCCCAAAUUGCUUUCCCUGCUGCCUUCCUGCCCCCACUGACCCAAUACAGAACCCUGUACUCUCAAGGUCACGCCACUCUCUUCUGUUUCUAGACAGCAUUCCUUCUGCGUGGAACAUGCCAACCCUCGUCUGCUUUGACUUUGCAAAACUGCAUGAGACCGCCGGGCGCGGUGGCUCACGCCUGUAAUCCCAGCACUUCAAGAGGCCGAGGCAGACAGAUCACCUGAGGUCAGGAGUUUGAGGCCAGCCUGGCCAGCAUGGUGAAACCCCGUCUCUACUAAAAAUACAAAAAAUCAGCCAGUAAUCCUAGCUACUCGGGAGGCUGAGGCAGGAGAAUCGCUUGAACCCAGGAAGCAGAGGUUGCAGUGAGCCGAGGUCAUGCCAUUGCACUCCAGCCUGGGCUACAAGAGUGAAACUCCGUCUCAAAAAAGAAAAAAAAAAAGAAAAAAAGACUGCAUAUGACUCCCCAGUGAAGCCCUCCCUGAUUGGCCUCUGCAGAAGGCAGCAUGCCCGGGCUUUGGAGUCAGACCUGCAUACAAAUCCUUGUUUUGCCGGUGUGACCUUGCCAAGUCUUCUUUCCUGCAGGACAGAAGGCGGCAGCAGCUCUCCCUGAACUGGCACUCUGGCUUCUCUUGCCCCAGGGUCUGUUUCUGCUCCUUGGACAGCAGGCGCAUGUGGGAACUGUGCCCUCUUCAGCCAUGAGCCCCUGUUCUGCGCACAUCUAGCCCAUCUUCCAGAUGGACAGACAGUCUGUGGUCGUCGCCAAACCCCUGAAUCUGGCCCUGCCCGCAGUCAGAGGGAUGGCAAUUUGUAAGCUACAGACUAUUGCGAAUCAUUCACUUGGAGACUGAACUAAGACUACUGGCACCAGGCUCCGUAGACCCUCGGGAAGAGCAUGGUCUGGCAGGCAGACUGGAUGUGGCCACAGAUAACAUCCCCUAAGGGGAGAGCGUGAGCCUGCAGGCCAGAAUGCCACCACUUUCUCCUGUGUCGUUCCAGAGAGAGCCUGUGGCUAUGCACGCUUGCUGCUACAGAGGGUAGUGCUGUAUACCUCCUGGGCUCACUUACUGACUUUUCAGUCUAAGGGCUUAUUGCAAUUGGUACAUAACGAUCAUACUUUGUAAUGGUUAAGUAAUAUUCCAUCAUAUGGAUGUGUUGUUUAUUUAACAUUCUGGUUGAAUAACCAAGACUUUUAGGUUUCCAGUUUUCCAGGAACAUCAUGCCCCUCCAUCAUUUGCCCACCUGGAAGGAUAACUACAGGAUAAGCAGCUCUUAGAACUGGAAUUGCUGAGUUAACUGCUCUGUGCAUUUCCUUGCUUUUUCUUGCUUUUCUUUUCUUUCUUUUAUUAUUUUUUUGGGUAAAUUUUUAUUGAACUAUAGCAUAGCGUAGAUACAGGAAAGUGUAAAAACUUAAAUGUACAAUUCAAUGAAUUUUCGCUAGGCAAACACUGUGUCACCAGCACCCAGAUUUAGAAACAGAAUAUUACCAGAAUCCCAAAAGCCCCAUGAGCUGCCGUCCAGUCACUACUUACCGUUUCCCUGAUCCCCUGCAUAGGAUAAUCCUUAUCAUGGCUUCUGACACUUUCGGUUGGUUUUGGAUGUACUGACACUUUUUGUGUGUGUGUGACACUUUUAUAAUACAAAGAAAAUCAUACAGUAUGUUCAGUUUGGGGUCUGGCUUCUUUCACUCAGUGUGUUGUUGUGGGCAGUUGGAGUUUGUUUAUUCUCAUUCUUCUGUUCUCUUUCUCUUUGGUUGAGUUUACUGGGCUGGAAGCAGUACAAGGACCAGAAUAUGCUGUGAGCUGACCAGCCACUGGGCUGGCUGGCUGGUUGACAAAUGAUCUAACAAAUGGUUGACAAAAUGGAUGGAUGAAUGAAUCACAGACCCACUAAUCCACUGACCUGUUCAAUGCCUGACUGGAAAUUGAGUGUCCAUUCCUCCCAACACCCCAGGGCCCCUGUCUCCCUUUGCUAGGGGCACUCAUGAUGGUGAGCAGAGAGGUCUGUAGGUGUAGCUGAGGCACAGAUCAUCCAGGUCAACCUGCGUAUUUUAGAUGGGGAAACUCAGGCCUAGCAACUUCACACAAAGCCACUUUGCUCAGGGGAAAAAUCAUCAUGACGCUGUGUCUGAUGUGGUUGAGGUACGAAGGAGGACCAGGUCAGAAGACGUUUAUUAAAUACCAAAAGUAGGCCAAGUGUCAUGCUAGGGGCUAGCUCUUCAUGCCUUUUGAUUCCCUGAUUUCAGCCCCAUUUAUAGAUGAAGUCACUGAGGGACGAGAGGUGAAGCCACUUGCCCGUCAUUGUCGGCCAGUGAGUGGAGGGCCCGGGAUCCAUCCCUCCAGCUCGGGUCCAGUGCUGCUUUGUCCCAGCUGCCUGCCCCUGGAAAAGAGGCUGCUAAGAGCACGUGCUGAGUCCUUGUAAGCUGGCCCAGAGUCGGGGGCUGUGGGCAGCUCCCACCAGGCACAAAAGGGGGUGCUCAGUCCCAUCACUCCAGGGAGGGUGAGGAGGCCAGUGCAGUUUGUUCCUGCUGUGGCUGCCAUACCCCUCCCCACACUGGACACACCUCCUGCCACGUGGUUCUGGCUGCCUCAGUGGCUGCACUCGGCCUUCUUUCUGUGUCUCCAGGCUGCGCUACAACCUCACUGUGUGAUACGUCUUCAAACCUCCCAAGAGGGAGAACCAGGUUGGCUUAGGCUUUUAGGCUCAGAGUAGGGGGGCCACAUGGCCCAAUCUGCAACUUUUGCCAAAGGAAAGCCCCAGAAUGGGGCUAUGGGUGUAGUGGGCCCUGAAAGCUUCUUUGAGGACAUGGGCACUUGGCAGGGGCCUUGCAGAGGCUGGGCUAGUACAGUCUAUGUUGGGGAAUGGGACCCCUUGGUGCUCAGGGCUGUGGGACCGUGGAGGAACAGGAGCCACCCUCGGCCCUUCCCAUCCCUACUGUUCAGCAGGAAACUGACUCACAAACAAUGGUACAUCCUAUAUACCAAGAGCCGUGCUGGCACAGGCGUCGGGGGAAGAGGUGGGACCCGAUUACUCGUGUCUGAGGAACUGGUGGGAGGGCUGGUCUGGGACAGUGCCCAAAGAAGACAUCAUUUGAGCUGGGUGUUAAGGACAGCUAGGAGGUAGCCACCCAGGAAACAGAGGUGCCCUUUUGGUACCAGCUUCAUACCUCGUCCGCCUUUGCAUUCUCCAGCUCUUGGCACAAGCCCCUCCUAUGCGGUGGGUGCCCAGUGAAUUGAAAUAAGCCUAGGAAGACGCUUAGGCCUUUGUCCAGGCCAGUGGUUCUCCAGCAUGAGCCCAGAAGGCGCGUUAAAACACGGAUUGCCGGGCCUACCCACUGGCUGCUGACUGAGCAGGUCUUCCUGGGGUCUGUGAAUCUGCAUGUCUUUUUUUUUUUUUUUUUGAGACGGAGUCUUGCUCUGUUACCCAAGCUGGAAUGCAAUGGCAUCAUCUCAGUUCACUGCAACCUCCACUGCCUGGACUCAAGCAAUUUUCUCGCCUCAGCCUCCCGAGUAGCUGAGAUUACAAAUGCCCACCACCAUGCCCGGCUAAUUUUUGUAUUUUUAGUAGAGACAGGAGUUCGCCGUGUUGGCCAGGCUGGUCUCGAACUCCUGACCUCAGGUGAUCUGCUGGCCUCGGCUUCCCUAAGUGCUGAGAUUACAGGCGUGAGCCACUGCUCCUGGCCAAAUAUGCAUGUCUAAUAAGUUCCCAGAUGUUGUUGACACCACUGGUCCAGGAAUCGCGGCAGUGAGAACCACUGAUUUAGUCCAAUCUCUGCAUCUUACAGAAAGGGAAAUGGAGACACAGAGAACAGAAGCAGCCUGUCCUAGUUACUCAAAGUGUGGGCAGAGGAAUGACUGGAUGCCCUGCCUCCAGACUCACGCUGAGUCCCACCCCGAACCACACUGCAGUGCCACCCUGCCACCUCUUGGACAGAGUGCCCCAGGAGCAGCCCCAGAAGAAAGCCUCAGGAGGCCAGCAUGUCUCUGGGCAACAGAACAAACCGCCGACUGGCCUGGGAGGGCAGGCUUCCAAGGGUCCUCGUGGCUACCCAGCCCAUCUGCUCAGCCAACUGCUUGCAUCUGGAACUCCAGUUUAAUCAUGAAAAAAACAUCUGACAAACCCAAAUGGAGGAACACCCACAAAAUGCCUCGUCACUGCUUUUCAAAAGGGCCAAGGUCAUGAAAACCGAGAAAGAACUGAGAAACCAUCUCACAUCGGAGGAGGCACGAUGGCUAAAUGCACCCCGGUCGCCCUGGACUGGAUCCGGAAAUAGUAAAAGUGCAUUAGUGGAAAACUGGUGAAAUCCACCGAAAGUCUGCAGUUGGUGAUAGUAUUGAAUCAAUGUUAAUCUCAUAGUUUUGACAAAUGCACCACGGUUACGUACGCGAGACGUUAACAUUAGGGGGAACUGCGUGGAGGGUACGUGGUACUGUGUACUAUUUUUGCAAUUUUUGUUUGUUUGUUUUUGAGAUGGAGUUUUGCUUUUGUUGCCCAGGCUGGAGUGCAAUGGCGCAAUCUUGGCUCACCACAAUCUCCGCCUCCCGGGUUCAAGCGAUUCUCCUGCCUCAGCCUCCCGAGUAGCUGGGAUUACAGGCAUGUGCCACCAUGCCCAGCUAAUUUUGUAUUUUUAGUAGAGACGGGGUUUCACCCUGUUGGUCAGGCUGGUCUUGAACUUCCAACCUCAGGUGAUCCGCCCACCUCAGCCUCCCAAAGUGCUGGGAUUACAGGCAUGAGCCGCCGAGUCUGGCCUGUUUGUUUUUUGAGACAGUCUCACUCUGUCACCCAGACUAGAGUGCAAUGGUGCAAUCUCAGCUCACUGCAGCCUCCACCUCCUGGGUUCAAGCGAUUCUCCUUGAGAAUCAGUGCCACCCGACUGGAACACAUCACCUGGCAGCCCAUUCUAGUACAGAGCAACAGCCCCCAUGUCCAGGAAGUCUCUCUUUACUUUUGCCAAAGUUGCCUGUGUUAUCUGCCCCAAGCCAUGCCCCAGAAGUCCUCAAGCUAGGGCUCAGGCCCGCCUUGCUAUCUCCCUUUCAGCACCUAGAUCAGCUCAUUGAGCACGUGGCACCUGCCAGGGAGUCACGCUGAAGCCCAUGCCCCCACAUCAAGGGUCUGUGAGAUGGCAGCCCCAGAGGCUGGCCCAGGGUUCGGGGAGAGGGCCUCUAAGCCCCUCUUCCUCAGGAAGUGCCCCUCACCUUGUCCUGCCCACAGGCAGCAGCAGUGUCGGCCCUGAUGGGCUCUGGCAUUGGGAAGGGGCAGCGGGAAACAGCUCCUCUGUGCAGCCUCCCCAGGGGCUACCCCACAGCCCCACUCCCCGCCUGUGUGCUGCACGCUGGUCACCUUGUUUGCUCUGGGAGCUCCUUUACCAGGGGCUUCCUGAGGCCUCCGGCCCUACUGGUACCUGGAGGCCCCAGCCUCUUGGCUCAGGAGGAGUCCUGGGCUGGGCGUGGUGACUUAACGCUUGUAAUCCCAGCACUUUGGGAGGCCAAGGCUGAAGGAUCAAUUGAGCCCAGGAGUUCAAGAGUAGUCUGGACAAUAUAACAAGACCCUGUCUCUACAAAAAAUUUAAAAAUCAUACAAUUUUUUAAAAAAGUAAAAAGGAGGAGGCCUGAGGGGCUACAGUGGCUGCAGGGUAGCAUGACCACUGGGGCUGCGGAAGCAUUUGCCCUGCGGGAGGAAGCGCUUUCGAGGGGGAAGGUGGCGUGUCUCUGACCCGGCAGCGAACAUGGGGCACCAGAGGGCAGCUUGACCCUGCUCCCAGGUGGAAUCUCUGAACCCUAGUUUCAUCUGCUCUCAGAGCCUGGCCUCCCCUGUCUAAGGCUGCCUGGGUUAGGAGCCUGGCACACACUGGGCUGCUAUACCAGUCUUUUACACACACAUUUACCAGGCACUUUCUCUUUUGCCAUCCCCUCAUGAUCACCCGGCAGGGAUCAUUAUCUGUAGGUGAGUGCAGGCUUAAGAGAGGCUGAGCGGCUUGGCCAGUCCCACAGGCAAUGGUGGCUGAGGCCUCCCCAGGACCCAGGUAUUCUGAGAGAGCCUCACACCGUGGGGCUGGAGGCCAGCAUCUGUCCCAGCCAUGCUAUCCACGCGCAUGCGGGGGGACGGGAAGAGCUCUGGGGCUGCACACAUCUGGGCUGCCAGCGUGUCUUCACCACUCUCUGGCUCUGCACCCCAGGAUUUUGGGGUCAGCACAUGGCGUAGUGGGUAGAGGGGUGCAUCCUGAAGGGUGGACCUCUAAUGCACCUGGCCAGACACCAAAAGGCAGCCGGGGGUGAGUCUCUGAGGAGUGGGCAGCGGGACCAGCACAGUGUGGAGAGGGCAGAGAGAGUGGGGAGGGCGGUGUGGGGCCAAGGGCAGGAGGUUCUGGGCGCAUGUCAGGCUGCUCCUGUCUCACCGAGUAUAAACAGCUCCUUAAAAAUGAACUCCAAAACCCAGCUCACUGGGCCAUUCAUGGCAGGCUAACCUUCGGGGGGUGCCCAGCAUGUCCCAGAGGGGCCUAGGAUGGGAGAGCCCUGUGGCCAGUCUGCAGCCGGUGCCUGCACAAACCUAGGCCUUGUGCUCCCUCUGGCACCUGGGUGAGGCCCCCUCGGGUGGAACACCUGCUAACUGCUCAUUAAAAUACAAGAGUGGGGGAGCUGGGCUUGGUGGCUCACGGCUGUAAUCCCAGCACUUUGGGA